UACGUAGGGCGCAAGCGUUGUCCGGAAUUAUUGGGCGUAAAGAGCUCGUAGGCGGUCUGUCGCGUCUGCUGUGAAAACGCGGGGCUCAACCCCGCGCCUGCAGUGGGUACGGGCAGACUAGAGUGAUGUAGGGGAGACUGGAAUUCCUGGUGUAGCGGUGAAAUGCGCAGAUAUCAGGAGGAACACCGAUGGCGAAGGCAGGUCUCUGGGCAUUAACUGACGCUGAGGAGCGAAAGCAUGGGGAGCGAACAGG
rnacentral:rRNA from 1 species